UGGCAGUACUUUUGGUGUGUACCUCAG
rnacentral:piRNA from 1 species